UGUUUAAUAUAACGUUGACUGGCUUUCCUGUUUUGCCGACACAGUGUUUGUAUUCAAGCAUAUUAAGAAAGCAGGGGGUAAAGUUAGUCAUGGCUAGUGGCUAUGCGUGUGUGUCAGUGAAAAGUGUACAGCUCCUGAUACCUGCGCGUGUUUGUGGGUAGGGCACGGGCCUUCUGUCAAGUAGUAAUGCACCAUUUUUUACAGAUGCCACAGAUGCCUCAGAAUGACCACGGAUUAUUCUACAAGUUCUUUCGCAUGACGACGCAGCUCUUCGACAAGCUAUUGAGCUUUGUCGCAGAGGACUUCACACGGCAGCACCACAUUCCAGAAACCCCUGGAGCCUGGAGAACGACUUGCUAUAGCAUUGAGCUACUUGGCAUCCGGGAAAGACAUAAAAGACGUUGCCUUUGCUUACCAUGUGGGAAUUGAGACGGCUAGACUCUGCAAUGAACAUGCUAAACCAACUCUGGAAGUGAGCCAUGUAACAGCAAAAAAAAAAAGAACAAGAAAUGUGGCUUGUGGUUGUCUAUGUUUGCAGUGAAUCUCACCUCCUGGCUAGGUGGUGAAGCAAUGCUUCCCAACGUGUCCAGCUUGUGAGUGCCUGCUCAAGCCAGCGAUGCUUGUGACUGCGGCCUGCUGUGGUGUGCCUCGAAAACCUCAGGAACCAGCACUUCUUGAAGCACCGCUGAUUCAAGAAAUUCCAAAAUGUCCCGAGACCGCACAGAAUCGUGCGACGCCAAAGACAAAGUCGAUGCUGGCGCUUAUGACCCUUCACCUGACAGUGACGGCACUUCAAGUGUUGCCAGACGAGAAAACCGGCACGUCUUCGUUAAGAUGUCCGCAGCGCUUCCCUCCUCACUGGAUGGGGACACUGGUGGAAGGUUGGCGGACGUCCUGCAUGUGAGUGCAAUAAGGUUUGCACAUAUUGUCAAUGUGCAAAUAAUGUGCCGGUCUGAAUACAAAAAUAUGUAAUGGCUCAUGUCCAUCCACAUUUGUUUUAAGGAGUCAUUUUAUUAGAGAACAACGCUCAAGCUCCGAGUCAGUUUUGUAGGAACAAAAGUGGCUUGCAUAUACAGCCAGAAUGAACAUUUUCUGCAUGUUCUGAAGUGUAGGUUUUGUAUUCGUUUUCUUUUGAUGCUUCUGAUGCAUUUAAGCAGUUCUCAUGAGAUCUCCAUGCCUAAAGCCUAGCGAUACUUUGUACUUGAAACAGUGCAUCAUAUCUGGAAUGUUUCAGUUUCGAAAUAAUUAGCAGCAAGCAUUCCACUACAUUUAAUCAGUAAAACCACUUAAUAAAUUUUAUGUUGAAAUACCUACGCUUGUACUUUCUAAACAUAGAGUAGUAGUAUUGUUAUGUCUUGGUUUAACAUAAGGCUCUUCCCUGUUACAGUAUUUGUACUUGAAAUGUUCUUGGCUUGUAACUUU
rnacentral:lncRNA from 1 species